rnacentral:lncRNA from 1 species
CCACUGAAGGCGGCCAGGGAUCGAACCUGCAUUCUCACGGACAGUGGUCAGGUUCGUAACCCACUGAAGCACCGUGGAAACUCGUGUAAGUAGUAUUAUUCUCACUUUACAUAUGGUACAAUUGAAGCUGGCUACAAGAAUUUAGACCAGAGAAGAAUUAUUGAUCCCAGAGUGGAAAGCAAGCACUUUAUAGAGGAAAAAGUUCUGGAAACAGGAAAAAAAAAAUCUAUCAACAGACAGCUGACAGAAGAAUGGACAAGAGGAAAGGUCAUUUCAGGGAGAAAGAUGAACCUGAGCAGAUGCAGAAGGAAAAAUAAGAAGUAUUUACCCAGUUUUACAAAGGCAAAGGAAUAUGCAGAGGAUGAACGGAAGAUAAAGCCAGAAAUACUGGUUUGUCAUCAAGUUGAGACGGUUUUGAAAGUAGCAGAGUGAAGAGUUUACACCUAAUCCAGUAGGAAAUGGGUGUGAUUUAAUUAUCUGAGGAAGGUUUAUCAAAUUCAGGUCUACCCAUCCUUAUCCACAGUUCUAAUACACAAAAGUUCUAAAGAGCAAAAGCUAUGGGGUUUUUUAAUAAUGUAUUUGGAGACAAAAGCCAGUUUGAUCUGAAUGUAGUUGGUAUCAUGGUUUAACAUGAACAGUGAGAGACUAUUUAUUUCUUUAUACCAUUUGUACCACUAUUUACCUUACUUAGUUGUGAAUAUUCAUACAUUUCACUGAAGAAAUAACAAUGUUUGAUUACAGCAUGCUGCCCCAGUCCCCACUAUGAGGACUUUGUAAUAUAUAGCAUUUUCUCCAUAUUACCUUUCCAAAACUCCCAGAAUUAACAAGAAAAAUAUGCACUCUAAAAUAUGUCUGACCCCAAGAGGUUAAUAUGAGAUAUUAUUAACUACAGCAAUAUAUAGGAGGGGACAGGUGGAAACAGAGGUGAGAAGACUAGUUUGGACACUUCCAAAAGUCCUGGUCAGAAAAAAAAAGAAAGUACGGUGGCUAUGAGAAUGGAAAAGACGGGUAAAUGGAAGAAUCACUGAGAACUGGAUUUGGUGGCUAAUUGAAUGCAGCGGAGUGAGGAAGCAGGCAAAGGAAACGCCUGGGAGUCUAGUGACAGUUUCAGUAACAAUAUCAACAAUGACAAAAUGGAAUCGUCAAUGCGUUUGGUCUACUUCUACUGGAUUUACAGUGUUGGCAGAACAUCUAGGUUGUGAUGUCAGGCAGAGUGAGAAAUGGGUGUUUAGCAGUCAGUAUGCGAGAAGUGUAACUCUGAGACUCAGCUACACAGAGGGGAUAAUGAAAGCUACGGAAAUGGAUGAAAUUCCCAAGAAACAAAGAAGUGAAAGAAUAUACACAGAAUUUGGGGAAACCACUAGCAGUUUACAACAUAGUUUUCUUAGUUGCAGGAAAGUUCGACUGUUUAAGAUUAGCAGAGGCUCAUCAUCUCUUAAUGAUGGAGAAGCAGCGUUGUGCAUUGACGGACCUAUCAGGUUCCUAUGAAACAGAGCACAAUGCCAGAAUUCCCUCCUAAUAACACUUCAGGGGGUCUGUUGCCAACCGUGAACUGAGCAAACAUCAUUUUGAGAUGCCCCAAAGCAGAUGAGUUCACUUUUUUUCUAAAAUCAAUGUGUCCUUGAGUCUACAUUUUUUAUACUCACAGGCCAGGGGGAAAUGUAGCUUUCUCUGGAGUCUAUUAUUGCGGCCCGCUCAGUCUCAAGAGGGGCCAUUCAAGCCAAAGUAAACUACAGUUUGUCAAAAUGUAAACUUAUUUUGAAAAUGGUAUCUUUUUUACCCAUGCUGCUACAGAUUCAGAUCAGUAUUUAAUGCUCUGUAGCAGUGAAAACAUGGUAGGAAGAGACUCCAAUGCGUUAAGCAGAUAUGAGUGGAAAGCCACACGCCUCACCUUGAAAAGCAAAGCUACAGGUGGGUUUUUUCUUGAGAGUUGUGAUGGCAACUUUUAUGUGUCACCUUGGCUGGAUCCCAUUGCCCGGAGACUGUGGUCAAACGUUAUUGUGGAUGUUUCUGUGAGGGUGUCUGGGGUGAGAUUUACAUUUAAAUUGGUGGACUUCAUAGUAGAGUCCCCUCUAUACCGUGGGUGGAUCUCGUGCAAUCAGGUGAAAACACGAACAGAACAAAACGACUGACCUCCUCCGGGCCUCUGGACUUCCAGCCUCGGCCUCCAGACUUGACCUGCAGCACCGACGCUCCAGUCUCACAGCUCUGGGACUUGAACUCUAACAUGGGUGCUUCCUGGGCCUGCUGGCCCACUCUGCAAAUUUUGGAUUUGCCAGUGUCCGUAACUGCUUGAGCCAAUUCCUUAAAAUAAAAAAUAUACAUCCUAUCGAUUCUGUUUCUCUGGAAAAUCCUGACUGAAACAAGAGGGAAGGAAGGAAUAACGCUGCCUAACACCAACUGAUCUGAAGAAACUAGAGAAACUGAAACCUGUGAUCCAGGUUAUUCAGGAAAAAAGCAAUCUAGUCAAAACCCAAAUGGUGAAAAGCAAACCAACGGGGGCAUUAGAUUAGUUGAGAUGACAAACUGAUCAAAAAAAAAAAAAGGAUGCCACUUCCCAACAAACAUUUCUAAAAUACUCUGUUGAUGGUUCAUCAAAAUUAUUACUAGAUGAAAAACCAGUAACUGAGAGUACUCAACCCAAACAAUUGAUUUUCAAGCCAAUUUCUGAAAUCCAAUCUGAUUUUGGAGAAGUUAUUUUAAAGUAUAUCAUGGGCGGCCAAAACUUACAUCCAUUACCUUGUCGGUUCACAACUUGGCCGUCAUGCAUGGAGGGCAGGGGAGAGACCCAAGAAAGAGGCAGACCACUCCAGACUGGUAGGUGAUGGCUUUAAUAAGCAAAUGAACUUACAAGCAAGGCUUGCCUUGGAUGGUCACGGAUGAGUCGAUCUCUGCACCUGCCAGAAUCGUGAAUGUUUCCACAGAGGCCUGAACUGGUUUGGUCAGUUGUUCAGUUCAGGUGCUCUCAGCCACACAUUACUCUCUCAAGGCUGCAUCCUCGAUGGCUUCUAGCAUGGGCACAGUGGGCAGGAUGUACACUCCAAGGACAGGGCGGGUGAGGAGCCUCUGAAUCCCCAGGUCUAGCUCUCAGGUCACCUGGGGUUCACAUUCUCUCAACAACCUCCUCCAACACUCAAAUUCAUUUUAUUAUUAAGUCUUCGUUCCAACAGACCUAUAAUGACAGCAGAGAAGAAGCAAGGAAAUAUAAUGACUUCCUCUCAAUUAGGCUCCUUCUUCAGACGUCCUUAAUUCCUAAGUCAGUGGUACCAUCUUUCACCGAGCUAUGAAGGACAAAAACCUAAAUAUCAGCUUUAAUUUCUUUCUCCUUCAUCUUCUACAUCUAGUCUGGCAUCAGGUCUGCUCAGCUUUGUCUCCAGAAUGUAUCUACUAUCCGACUGCUUUUCUCCAAUGCCAUUACAACCAGACACCAUCCCCCUCAGCUGGGUCACUGCAACAGGCUCCUAACUGGCCUUCCAUCUUCCACUGUUGCUCUUCUAUUGCUCAUUUACUCUGUAACAGCCUGAUGAUCUUAUUAAAGGGUACAUCAGAUAUCACACCUGUUUCCAGUGCAAUGCAUUCCCACUGCACUUACCAAAGGAAAAAAAAGCAGGGGGGGGAGGCGAGGGGAAGAAGGCUUAUAUUGGGUUUUAAGACUCAACAGGAGCUGUUGGCUCCUACAUCUGUCUUGCUCCAAACUACUCACUGCGCAUGUACAUGGUAGACUUUAUGCCAUACACCAUCCUUCGGGCCUCAGCUCUUUUGUACUCUUCCUGCCACCUGGAAUUCCAGCGGCCUCCUUUUCCUACGCUUGGUCCCUUUCAUCCAGGUAUUGGUUCCGAUGCCAUCCCCUUUCAGAUUUGCCUAACCAUGCUACUUAAAAUAACUUACCUUUCUGCACUCAUCUUACUAUUUUGUCCGUGGCAGAGCCAGACUUUAGGAUUGGACAAGUUGCUAUUAGUUACACAUAUUUAAGAAUCAUCUUUAAUAUUUUUCUUAUUUACCAAAAUGUUGUAAUAACUCUGGCAUUUUUUAAAGCCAAGCCAACUUUCACUGGGGAAGAAGUACUUGGUCCAAGGGAAGCACUGCAGAGAAUGCCUUCACUGGUCAAAUGGACAGGCCGAGUCCUCCUCUGGAAGUCAGUCAUCCCAGGGCUUGCUCAGCGGGUCUGCGUACAAAGUAAAAAUGGCAGCAGGGAUGGAGGUUAUACAUGGACCCAGAAACGUGAAAUUCUUCCCACCAAUACUGGUCUUACUAUUGUCACUGCUGAAUGUCUAAUUGGCUAGGAACAGAGACUAAUGCUGAGCUGUCACUAGGGCUUCACUUCCUGGGAGACACCAGUUACCAGGUGGCUAAUGACACUGGAUCUCUUCUCUAGUGGGAGGGCCAGCAAUGUGUCCUCAUGAAAAUACAUAGUCUAGAUAUGUACCCUAAGUUCCUUCCUAUGACACUAUUCAUCACAAGCUUUACAAAAAUGGUCAUCUCUCACAACAUAACUCCUAAAUGAGAAAUGCAUUUCACAACAAAAGAAAUGCAGCAAUGGGCUUGAAACUAUGAAAUUCCUAGUUUUUCCAUGUACCAAAUUACCCAGAAGUGGCUGGUUUGGUAGAAUAAUAGAAUGACUCACUAAGACCAAGUCAUUAGGCCAGCUGGGAGGCAAAACCCUAAGAGAACCGAGGUGCCACCUUAUAAGAUGCAGAUAACUUUGAACCCGUGAUCAAUGUACGAGUUAUUUCUUCCACUGCCAGAAUACAUGGGUCCGGGAAUCAUGGAAUAAAAAUAAGACAAAUUUCUCUCAGUAUUAUGUUUAAUAACCCACUCAUGUUUUUUUCUUCCCAUCCCUAUAAACGGGCUAUGCUGAUUUGGCAGUCUUAGUUCCCACGGGGCGCGGGGGGGGAUGAAAACUACCAGGACACACACAAUGGUUCAGGUUGGAAGUUGACAGGAUGGGCUCAAGAGAGAGGAGGAGCAGAACAGGGAGCUCACCUCCUCCCGCAAAACCAUUAAAAAUACAUUUACAAGUGGAGCAACUCACGCAGGACAUCUGAACACCGGCAGAAAACCUCAGACUUCUAAAAGGACCAGAAAACCUCCAUGUAACUGGGUAGGGCAAAAAGCAAAAGAAAAAAAGGAGAGAGAGACAAAGGAACUGGGGACAGGACUUGCGCCCCAGAGAGUGAGCGGUGAAGGAGGAAACAUUCCCACACCCUGGGAAGCCCCCUCACUGGGGAGAGCGGCCUGGAUGGAGAGGGAGCUUGGGCGCGUAGGAGGAGAACACAGCAGCCUGUCUGCCGAAGGCGAAACAGAGAGACUCUGCCCUGAAGGUCAGCACCACCGCCCUGUGCUCCCCAGCCUAAGACGCUUGUCUGUUGGUGCAGGUGGGGGCUGGUGCUGUAGAUCAGGCUUCAGAGAUCAGACCCGGGGAGAGGACCAGGGCUGGCUGUGCAGAGACAGGCUGAAGAGGCUAACCUGUGGUAACUGAGGGUGUACUCAGGAAACCUGGGCCCACCAGAGAGGCAAGGCA